AUUGAACGCUGGCGGCAGGCCUAACACAUGCAAGUCGAACGAGUGGCGGACGGGUGAGUAAUGUCUGGGAAACUGCCUGAUGGAGGGGGAUAACUACUGGAAACGGUAGCUAAUACCGCAUACCAUCGGAUGUGCCCAGAUGGGAUUAGCUAGUAGGUGGGGGAAAGGCUCACCUAGGCGACGAUCCCUAGCUGGUCUGAGAGGAUGACCAGCCGCACUGGAAGUGAGAGACGGUCCAGAGUCCUACGGGAGGCAGGAGUGGGGAAUAUGGCACAAUGGGAGCAAGCCUGAUGCAGCCAUGCCGCGUGUAUGAAGAAGGCCUGCGGGUUGUAAAGUACUUUCAGCGGGGAGGCUUUACCCGCAGAAGAAGCACCGGCUAACUCCGUGCCAGCCGCCGCGGUAAUAC
rnacentral:rRNA from 1 species